GGAAGUAAAAGUUGUAACAAGGUUUCCGUAGGUGAACCUGCGGAAGGAUCAUUACUGAGUGAGGGCCCCUCGGGGUCCAACCUCCCACCCGUGUUUAACGAACCUUGUUGCUUCGGCGGGCCCGCCUCACGGCCGCCGGGGGGCAUCUGCCCCCGGGCCCGCGCCCGCCGAAGCCACCUGUGAACGCUGUCUGAAGUAUGCAGUCUGAGACAAUUAUUAAAUUAAUUAAAACUUUCAACAACGGAUCUCUUGGUUCCG
rnacentral:misc_RNA from 1 species